AAAAAAGAAAUAUGUUGGAAAGUUUAAGACGUCCAUAAAAAACGUUAAAAAA
rnacentral:sRNA from 1 species